rnacentral:rRNA from 1 species
CGUAGGCAGCGAGCGUUGUUCGGAGUACUGGGCGUAAAGGGUGUGUAGGCGGUUGUUUAAGUUUGGUGUGAAAUCUCCCGGCUCAACUGGGAGGGUGCGCCGAAUACUGAAUGACUUGGAGUGCGGGAGAGGUGAGUGGAAUUCCUGGUGUAGCGGUGAAAUGCGUAGAUAUCAGGAGGAACACCGGUGGUGUAGACGGCUCACUGGACCGUAACUGACGCUGAGACACGAAAGCGUGGGUAGCAAACAGGAUUAGAUACCCUGGUAGUCCACGCCCUAAACGAUGCAUAUUUGGUGUGGGCAGUUCAUUCUGUCCGUGCCGGAGCUAACGCGUUAAAUAUGCCGCCUGGGGAGUACAGUCGCAAGGCUG